rnacentral:rRNA from 1 species
AACGAACGCUGGCGGCAUGCCUAACACAUGCAAGUCGAACGGACGUAGCAAUACGUGAGUGGCGGACGGGUGAGUAACGCGUGGGAACCUACCCGAAAGUGAGGAAUAACCGAGGGAAACUUCGGCUAAUACCGCAUAUGCCCUGAGGGGCAAAGGCUUCGGCCGCUUUCGGAGGGGCCCGCGUCCGAUUAGCUAGUUGGUGGGGUAACGGCCUACCAAGGCAGUGAUCGGUAGCUGGUCUGAGAGGACGAUCAGCCACACUGGGACUGAGACACGGCCCA